ensembl:lncRNA
GGACGGCAGGUAGCCUAGUGGUUAGAGUGUAGUGGAGGCAGGUAGCCUAGUGGUUAGAGUGUAGUGGAGGCAGGUAGCCUAGUGGUUAGAGUGUAGGGACGGCAGGUAGCCUAGUGGUUAGAGUGUAGGGACGGCAGGUAGCCUAGUGGUUAGAGUGUAGGGACGGCAGAUAGUUUAGUGGUUAGAGUGUAGUGACGGCAGGUAGCCUAGUGGUUAGAGUGUAGGGGCGGCAGAUAGCCUAGUGGUUAGAGUGUAGGGACGGCAGGUAGCCUAGGGGUUAGAGUGUAAGGACGGCAGGUAGCCUAGUGGUUAGAGUGUAGGGAUGGCAGGUAGCCUAGUGGUUAGCGUGUAGGGACGGUAGGUAGCCUAGUCGUUAGCGUGUAGGGGCGGCAGGUAGCCUAGUGGUUAGAGUGUAGGGACGGCAGGUAGCCUAGUGGUUAGUGUGUAGGGACGGCAGGUAGCCUAGUGGUUAGAGUGUAGGGACGGCAGGUAGCCUAGUGGUUAGAGUGUAGGGACGGCAGGUAGCCUAGUGGUUAGAGUGUAUGGACGGCUGGUAGCCUAGUGAUUAGAGUGUAGGGGCGGCAGGUAGCCUAGUGGUUAGAGUGUAUGGACGGCUGGUAGCCUAGUGAUUAGAGUGUAGGGGCGGCAGGUAGCCUAGUGGUUAGAGUGUAGGGACGGCAGAUAGCCUAGUGGUUAGAGUGUAGGGGCGGCAGGUAGCCUAGUGGUU